rnacentral:rRNA from 1 species
UGCGUAGGCUGGCUAAUAAUUCAGUGGUGAAAUCUUCCGGCUCAACCGGGAACCUGCCAUUGAUACUGUUAGUCUUGAGUUCGGUUGAGGUAGGCGGAAUGUGUAAUGUAGCGGUGAAAUGCUUAGAUAUUACACAGAACAACAAUUGCGUAGGCAGCUUACUAGACCGACACUGACGCUGAGGCACGAAAGCGUGGGGAGCGAACAGGAUUAGAUACCCUGGUAGUCC